rnacentral:rRNA from 1 species
CAGUCGAACGGUAACAGGAAGCAGCUUGCUGCUUCGCUGACGAGUGGCGGACGGGUGAGUAAUGUCUGGGAAACUGCCUGAUGGAGGGGGAUAACUACUGGAAACGGUAGCUAAUACCGCAUAAUGUCGCAAGACCAAAGAGGGGGACCUUCGGGCCUCUUGCCAUCGGAUGUGCCCAGAUGGGAUUAGCUAGUAGGUGGGGUAACGGCUCACCUAGGCGACGAUCCCUAGCUGGUCUGAGAGGAUGACCAGCCACACUGGAACUGAGACACGGUCCAGACUCCUACGGGAGGCAGCAGUGGGGAAUAUUGCACAAUGGGCGCAAGCCUGAUGCAGCCAUGCCGCGUGUAUGAAGAAGGCCUUCGGGUUGUAAAGUACUUUCAGCGGGGAGGAAGGCGAUGAGGUUAAUAACCUUGUCGAUUGACGUUACCCGCAGAAGAAGCACCGGCUAACUCCGUGCCAGCAGCCGCGGUAAUACGGAGGGUGCAAGCGUUAAUCGGAAUUACUGGGCGUAAAGCGCACGCAGGCGGUCUGUCAAGUCGGAUGUGAAAUCCCCGGGCUCAACCUGGGAACUGCAUUCGAAACUGGCAGGCUAGA